AGGCCAGAAAGCUGUGACCAUAGAGGGAGUGGUGGUAUGUGUCAGUGGAGGUUUGGCUGAACAUCAGCUGAAGACAGAGAAGAUGCAGGCGAAGUGGCAGAACAUUAUAAUGAUGGCGAAAGUGGUACUGGGUACUUAGCAUGGAGAAUCAAAACUAUACAAAGAGGCUUAGCUAAAGAACGAUGUGCAUCAUGUAUGAAGGAAAAGGAACGUCAGCUUUUUGCAGAAGCGGGGUCUGGUGGACCAACUAUAAGAGGCAAUCAGAGCUUAAUACAGAGACCAUCUUGAGUGAGGAUGAAUGCAAGGAAGCAAUUGCAUUCAUGAGCCAUUCUUCUAAUGAGGACGCCAUCAAGAAGAAACUAAAACAUUCGACUUUCACUGCAACAUGGUUCUUGAUCCCAUGCAGUCAAGUGAUAUAUUGACAGUCUUCCCACGAUUCAAAGACAUUAAAAGCUUGAUUGAGCAAAAAUUUGUUGGAGACAAGUUUGGAGAAGUGUCAGACAAGCUACUGGAGAAAUGGACCACUGCAUUCAAGAGAAAAAUGAUUCAGCAGUGCAAAAAGCUUCCAAGCACCAGUGAUUUGGAAGAACUACUACUAGCAGCUGAAUAUCCUACUGGUGACUCAGAAUAGGGUGUUAAUUUGGUUAAGUUGUAAUAUAAAUAUUAAUAAUAUAAAUAUUAUUGAACAAAUUAUCUAAGGAACACUAAGUUCACUUCCAGAACAGAAAUUUACAGAUAAUGUACUCACCCCUUUUCAAGAUGUUCAUGUCUUUCUUUCUUCAGUUGUAACGAAAUAGUGUUUUUGAGAAAAAAAUUUCAGAAUAUUUGGCCAUAUAGUGGACUUCUAUGCAGUUUAAUGGCAGCUUCAAAGGGCUCUAAACGAUCCCAGCCGAGGAAGAAGGGUCUUUUAUCUAGCGAAACGAUCUGUUAUUUUCUUAAAGAUUUGACAAUUUAUUUACUUUUUAACCUCUAUGCUAGACAAGAUGAGCAUUUGAAGUCCACUAUAUGGCCAAAAAUCAGAAAUGUUUUUCUCGAAAAACAAUUUCUUUAUGACUGAAGAAAGAAAGACAAGAACAUCUUGGAUGACAAGGGGGUGAGUAACUUAUCUGUAAAUAAUUUUGUUCUGGAUGUGAACGUCUCCUUUAAGGGUAAAAUAUUUAGUCCCCAUACAUUUUUAAUGUCCUUUAUGUGUUUAUACCGGUUGGUAUAGUGACCUCUCGUCUAUAAUACUUCUGUUGCAUCUUAUCACACCUUCUGCCCAAGGCCAGAAAAGACCAGGAAAGGUGUCUGCCUGUCAAGCAGAGAAGCACCUUGUUGUCUUCAAGAAUGUUUGUAUGUUUGUCUGUUUGUUAGUUUUUUUCUGUUUUACAUUUAACAUAUCGGUGAUGGGUUUCUUUAAUUUGCUUGGUUUUCUCAGAGUGGAAGAAACAUUGAGGAGCAUUUUCUAGAAAUCACAGCUACUAGCUGUUGGAUCUCAGAAGAAUUACGUUACGUUACGUUUUUCUGCCCUCAGUGUUUUUUUUUUCUUUGUCAGGCUGAGUUACUUGGUUCAAAAUUGCUUAUUAGGCACUUCAGAUUAGUUCAUGGUUUGUUCCUGGAAAGAGUCUUCACCUUAAAUGUGUAGAGGCAGGAUGUAGUUCUGUGUCACAUUGGAUAACUUUGGCUUAAACAGUUUACUGCUGUUUCUGUGUUCUUGAGAAAGAUCGCUUACAGUUUGUGUUUUCCGAAGAUAACCCUGAGUUUGUACUAAGAACAACUGAGAUGCAUGCUCUGCACUGUAAAAGGUUAUAAGAUGACUCUACACUACCUCAUUUUUCUGGCAUCAAACGGGUGUGUUUGUUAAAUACAAUUUAAAGACAAUUUUGCUGUGGAUCAACAUUUUAGGAGGUGUCGCUCAACUAGAGGUAAAACUUGUUCUGCAGUACAUUCAGCAUCAUUUUUUGAGUGCUGAUGAUCUUGCUGGUAGAAUACAUGCUUUUGAUUAUGGUUACAAUCAGCAGAGGAACCGUCCUUCAAUGGUCAAAUUGUUCGGUGGAAGCAAUGAUUUGGGUUUAACUGCCAUUCAGUCAUGGUGCUUUUUGCGCAACAUGCCUCUGUUAUUUAGUGAUUUAGUGCACCAAUAACACUGGUAUCUUUUGCUUUUACUUCUACAGCUUGUUAACACCGUAUUUUCACCAGCCCUAACUGAAGGGCUUUACCAUUUAUCUUAAACAUUUAAUAAUUGAACCAGCCAUUCAAAAAAUUCUUUCCAGAAAGAAAUCUGUUGCCAAAGCAUCACAUGAUGAUACAUUAUCCACAGUGUAAAAGAAAAAUGCACAUGUGGUUUAUGUGUUACGAAGGUAAACACAAAUUCUUUAAAACACAAUUAAAAGCUUAAAAAAACAUCACCGAAAUGCACCAGAGUUGUAUGGCAAUGCACUGGGAUUCUUUUAGUCUGUACAGAUUGACUCUUGGUCCAGGGAAGAUGGUGGAACUCAGGGGACUUAAAGGGGGCAUUGACAUGGCUUCCAAACUAGGAGUGGAAAUAUCAGAACUUGUCUAUUCUGUAAAGUGGAUCAAACAUCAUGGUACAGAGCAUCACCCUGACUUUAUUAUCUGUACAGAAGUAGCAUGUGAGAUGCCAGCGUUUUUAUAAGAUCAAGGCUAUUGCUGUGAAAGAUGAAAAUGUACUGUUAUGUGGAACACUGAUGGAAACACUGUUUUGAUUACCAUUACCAUGCAUUUACAGACUGCAUCCAGACUGAGUUUUAAAGGUAGUGAAUGUUAACGAGCUGUGUUAUUUCAAACAAUUUGAUGUUCAAAUGAAAUAUGGUGCACCAGAUUCUGCACUGCAUAUAGUGCUUUAUUGCCAUUUUUUGAAGAUGAGAUGUUUUUUUGUGCAUGUAUUUAAGCAUGACAUUGUUUUAAUAAAUGUUUUAAAUGGUAAUUUGAUUAUGUUUUUUUGUUCUGUUUUAUUCAAUGUAAAAAAAAACAACCUCUAAUUUGACUUUUGUAGCAGAGAAAAUUAGUCA